UGUGAUUCUGAUUCUGAACCACCACUAUAAUGUGAUUCUGAUUCUGAACCACCGCUAUAAUGUGAUUCUGAUUCUGAACCACCACUAUAAUGUGAUUCUGAUUCUGAACAACCACUAUAAUGUGUUGAUUCUGAUUCUGAACCACCACUAUAAUGUGUUGAUUCUGAUUCUGAACCACCACUAUAAUGUGAUUCUGAUUCUGAACCACCACUAUAAUGUGAUUCUGAUUCUGAACCACCACUAUAAUGUGAUUCUGAUUCUGAACCACCACUAUAAUGUGAUUCUGAUUCUGAACCACCACUAUAAUGUGAUUCUGAUUCUGAACCACCACUAUGUGUUAGACUUUAAAGAUGAGAACUAUAACGGCGUUAAACCAUUGUUAUUUUCGCCUUGUGUUCUUUAUUUCUGCUGCAAUGAUUCUGAAAGAAAACCACAUGCAACACGUUUUAUGAAAGAGACCAUACAUGAUCCUUUAUUUUCUUAUUCCUUCGGGUAUGUUAGGGCCUAUGCCUUUUGUGAGAAGUGAGGUUUUGUUCAAAUAUAUUGCAUAUAAAGAAUGAUUUACCGUAGAUGAAGAAGAGAAGUUCUCUUUGACGUUAAAGUUGAGGAGGAAUGAUCCUAAUAUAGCUUGUAUCUCUGUGAUGUCAGAAACAGCUUCCAUAAUGUCCUAUCACAUGACAGAGAAAGGAGAGACAUUAGAUGUUACUUCCUCUUCACUUCAACCCUCCAGCACUUUGAUUCCCCGUGAAAACACCUAAAUGGCUGGAGAACGUCUGCAGAGUUGAAAACAGAAUGAUUCCCACAGUAAUUGAGAGAUUUGGUAUAAUUCAAACACCCUUAGGACACAACGGUGUCCCAGUGCCCAAAGCAUUUCCAUAACUGAAGUCAAUUAUAUUUCUUUUCAAGCACAAAUCAAUGUUUUGUUCCUUUUAGGAACCACUGCCAUACUUGACCUGAAAUGAUUAAAAAAACAUGGGAGAAUGACAGAAUUAGGUAUUGGUGUUGUCCUUGAAUCCAUAGAUUAUGGUUGUUGUAAAAAUUAUUCUCUAUCUUGUUUUUCAUUGUCAUUCCCUCAAUAUACUUUUGUAUACAAUAGCAUUAAGUCUGAAGGCUUCAACUCUUUUGUAUACAAUAGCAUUAAGUCUGAAAGCUUCAGCCCAACAUUCCAUUGUAAAUAAUGUAUAUAAUAUUGAAGUUGAGAUUAUAGAUGGGUUUUAUUUAGGGGCCCUCCUGCCUGUUCAAUAAACAACAGACCUAUCGUCCCUAAAACAACAGACCUAUCUCCCCCACAACAACAGACCUAUCAACCCACAACAACAGACCUAUCAACCCACAACAACAGACCUAUCAACCCACAACAACAGACCUAUCGUCCCCACAACAACAGACCUAUCAACCCACAACAACAGACCUAUCAACCCACAACAACAGACCUAUCGUCCCCACAACAACAGACCUAUCAACCCACAACAACAGACCUAUCGUCCCCACAACAGACCUAUCAACCCACAACAACAGACCAAUCGUCCCCACAACAACAGACAUAUCUCCCCACAACAACAUACCAAUCUCCCCACAACAACAGACCAAUCGUCCCCACAACAGACCUACCAACCCACAACAACAGACCUAUCAACCCACAACAACAGACCUAUUGUCCCCACAACAACAGACCUAUUGUCCCCACAACAACAGACCUAUCAACCCACAAAUCAACAGACAUAUCGUCCCCACAACAACAGACCUAUCUCCCCCACAACAACAGACCUAUCGUCCCCACAACAACAGACAUAUCAACCCACAACAACAUACCUAUCAUCCCCACAACAACAGACCUAUCAACCCACAACAACAUACCUAUCAACCCACAACAACAGACCUAUCAACCCACAACAACAGACCUAUCAUCCCCACAACAGACCUAUCAUCCCCAUAACAACAGACCUAUUGUCCCCACAACAAUAGACCUAUCGUCCCCACAACAACAGACAUAUCAACCCACAACAACAGACCUAUCAUCCCCACAACAACAUAUCUCCCCACAACAACAGACCUAUCAACCCACAACAACAGACCUAUCAACCCACAACAACAGACCUAUCAUCCUCACAACAACAGACCUAUCGUCCCCACAACAACAGACCUAUCUCCCCCACAACAACAGACUUAUCCCCACAACAACA
ensembl:lncRNA